GGAUCUUUGGCGAUGUCCAUAUCACAGUGAUAGCACUGACCCAAUUAUAUCUCAGUUUACGUAGUACAAGCAACAACAAAAAUCGGUUGUAUUCGCUACGAUUUUUAUUAGAAGAAUGCAUUUCAGUACCCCGCGGAAGGAUCGCAGUUGUACAGGACAAACAUAAACUAUAGGAUGGCAGCACACACACACUCGGUGCAUUCGAGCUGGGUGCACGUUGCAUUUCUGCAGUGGCGUGUAUUCAUGGAUGCACGUUGCAACCUCGGAUCUGUCUCCCUCUCCAGUGGGUUCUACCUCGGGUUCAGAUUCUCGGAGCUCCCAGCCUCACCAGACCGUGAGACUGCCUGAGAGACCGGUCCAUUCAACACCACCAGCUGUCAUCAUAGGCAGCUCUAUGGUGAGAAACAUGUCGGUCCCCAAGGCAAAACCCCUGUGCUACGAAGGAGCACGAGUACAGGACAUAACAAGGCUGCUUCUGACUGUUCUACCACAGAUGCCGGGAGCUGAAGACAUAAGGAGGGCUAACUCGGAACAUUUGAAAAUGUAUUUUAAAGAACUGAUUUUAUCAUUAAAAGACUACAUAAAACGGCCAAUAACUUCAGGUCCAGUACCAUCGUUGGGCCGCGGGUGUGAAAGAUUCAGCAGACUGCUUGCAUUACACAUCUGGCUAAAAGACUGUAGCUCUGCUGGAGUCACUUUUAUUGAUAACUUUGACACCUUCUGGAAACAGAAGAUACUCUACAGGAAUGACUAAGCCCAUCCAAAUCUUCUUGGCUCCUGGACUCUGUUCGUGCAUUUCAAGGCUGCGUUGGAUCAAUGACUGGUAAAUGAUCCUAGACCAGCUCAGUUAAUCCCUACCAUUGUGACAAUAAGUCUUCAUAAUGCUGCAUCAAAUGUACAUGAUCUUAGGGGCAUUGGCAAACACAAUGUAAGUAAUUUAAUUUAUAUACCCCUAAUUGCACCGAAUACAUCUGUUUAUCCUACAGCUAUUGUAAGCAGUAAUCAUGAGCCUAUAAAUCAGAGUUACACUGUUAGCACUGAGGCGGUGUGCAAUAGUAGGAAGACCACUUAGUGCAGGGUGAGCUGCAUGAUCAGCUCCAAUGUAAAUAACAUGAGUAAGCCUACCUCUGACAAGCUUCCCAGUUAAAGCAUUAAAAACAAUCAAGCAACCCAGAAAAGUGCUAAAAAUAGGCCAUAUUAACAUGUGUAGCCAACGAAGGAGUGGCUUCGUAAGAUGCAUUUCAAGGUCCUGGAGUGGCCUAGCCAGUCUCCAGAUCUCAACCCCAUAGAAAAUCUUUGGAGGGAGUUGAAAGUCUGUGUUGCCCAGCAACAGCCCCAAAACAUCACUGCUCUAGAGGAGAUCUGCAUGGAGGACUGGGCCAAAAUACCAGCAACAGUGUGUGAAAACCUUGUGAAGACUUACAGAAAACGCUUGACCUCUGUCAUUGCCAACAAAGGGUAUAUAACAAAGUAUUGAGAUAAACUUGUUCUUGACCAAAUACUUAUUUUCUACCAUAAUUUGCAAAUAAAUCCAUUAAAAAAUC